GUUCAAAGGAGGAAAGGAACACGGUGGUUACCUAGGCACCCAGAGAGGAGGAAGGGUGUAGUAAUCGACGAAAUGCUUUGGGGAGUUGAAAAUCAGCAUAGAUCCGAAGAUUCUCGAAUAGAGUAACCUUUCGAUCUACUACUGAAUCCAUGCGCAGGCAAUAGAGAACUAGGCAAACUAAAAGAUCUUAGUAGCCAGAGGAAAAGAAAGAAAAAACAAUUCUCGUCAUAGCAGCGGGCGAAAUGGGAGCUGCCCAAAUCGUGAAAAUGGGGUUGUGGGAGAGAAAUACAAGCAUUGUGUAGCUUGGUGAAGCAGCCCGAAUGCUGCACCCUACAUGGAAAAAGUCCAGUAGCCGAAAACAUCACUAGCUUAGGCUCUGACCCGAGUAGCAUGGGGCAUGUGGAAUCCCGUGUGAAUCAACAAAGACCACCUUGCAAGGCUAAAUACUCCUGGGUUACCGAUAGCGAAGUAGUACCAUGAGGGUAAAGAACCCCAGGAGUGAAAUAGAACAUUAAAGCGUAAGCUCCCAAGCAGUGGGAGAAGACCGGUUUUUGACCACGUGCUUAUUGAAGAAUGAGCCAGCGACUCAUAGGCAUUGGAUUGGUGAAGGGAACCCACCGGAGCCAUAGCGAAAGCGAGUCUUCAUAGGGCAAUUAUCACCGCUUAUGGAACUGAACCUGGAUGAUCUAUCCAUGACCAGGAUGAAGCUUGGGUAAAACUAAGUGGAGGUCCGACCGACUAAUAUUGAAGAACAGCGGGUGAGUUGUGGUUAAGGGUGUAAUGCCACUCGCACCCAGAGCUAGCUGGUUCUUCCCAAAAUACAUUGAGGCACAAUAGUUGACUGGACAUCUAGGGGUAAAGCACGGUUUCAGUGUAGGCCACGAGAGCGGUACCAAAUCAAGGCAUACUAUGAAUACUAGAUAUGACCUCAAAAUAAUAGGGGGUCAAGGUCGGCUAGUGAGAUGAUAGGGGAUAAACUUCAUCGUCGAGAGGGAAACGGCCCGGAUCACCAGCUAAGUCCCCUAAAUGACCGCUCAGUGAUAAAGGAGGUAGGGGUGCAGAGACAUCCAAGAGGUUUACUUAGAAGCAGCCACCCUUGACAGAGUGGGUAAUAGCUCACUAAUUGAGUGUUGUUGCGCCAAAGAUGAAUAGGGCUAAGCGAUCUGCCGAAGCUGUGGGAUGUCAAAAUACAUCGGUAGGGAUAUUUUCAUUCCUUGUCCCCUCUUUCCAGUAUUUUCCGAAAAACAGCAAUUAGGAAUAGAGAAUAUAUAUCAAAGAAAGGUCUAACUGUUGGAAUCAUUUUUUCCAUUGCUAUUUGAUACAUUUCGGUCAU
rnacentral:ncRNA from 1 species